rnacentral:rRNA from 1 species
GACGAACGCUGGCGGCGUGCUUAACACAUGCAAGUCGAGCGGAAAGGCCUGCUUUCCCUUGUGGAUUGCGGGUACUCGAGUGGCGAACGGGUGAGUAACACGUGAGUGAUCUGCCCCCAACUUGGGUAUAAGCCUGGGAAACUGGGUCUAAUUCACGAUAGGACUGCAGGGUGGUGCCUGUGGUGGAAAACGAUUUUCUAGUGGUUGGGGAUGAGCUCGCGGCCUAUCAGCUUGUUGGUGGGGUAAUGGCCUACCAAGGCGGCGACGGGUAGCCGGCCUGUGAGGGUGGACGGCCACAUUGGGACUGAGACACGGCCCAGACGCCUACGGGAGGCAGCAGUGGGGGAUAUUGCACAAUGGGCGGAAGCCUGAUGCAGCGACGCCGCGUGGGGGAUGACGGCCUUCGGGUUGUAAACUCCUUGCGACCGCGAGGAAGCCACCUGGUUGGAAGGGUGGUGACGGUAGUGGUAGAAGAAGCACCGGCUAACUACGUG